CCUACGGGGGGCAGCAGUAGGGAAUCUUCGGCAAUGGACGAAAGUCUGACCGAGCAACGCCGCGUGAGUGAAGAAGGUUUUCGGAUCGUAAAACUCUGUUGUUAGAGAAGAACAAGGAUGAGAGUAGAAUGUUCAUCCCUUGACGGUAUCUAACCAGAAAGCCACGGCUAACUACGUGCCAGCAGCCGCGGUAAUACGUAGGUGGCAAGCGUUGUCCGGAUUUAUUGGGCGUAAAGCGAGCGCAGGCGGUUUCUUAAGUCUGAUGUGAAAGCCCCCGGCUCAACCGGGGAGGGUCAUUGGAAACUGGGAAACUUGAGUGCAGAAGAGGAGAGUGGAAUUCCAUGUGUAGCGGUGAAAUGCGUAGAUAUAUGGAGGAACACCAGUGGCGAAGGCGGCUCUCUGGUCUGUAACUGACGCUGAGGCUCGAAAGCGUGGGGAGCAAACAGGAUUAGAUACCCUAGUAGUC
rnacentral:rRNA from 1 species